rnacentral:rRNA from 1 species
UACGUAGGGUGCGAGCGUUGUCCGGAAUUAUUGGGCGUAAAGGGCUCGUAGGCGGUCUGUCACGUCGGGAGUGAAAACUCAGGGCUUAACCCUGAGCCUGCUCCGAUACGGGCAGACUAGAGGUAUGCAGGGGAGAACGGAAUUCCUGGUGUAGCGGUGAAAUGCGCAGAUAUCAGGAGGAACACCGGUGGCGAAGGCGGUUCUCUGGGAAUAUCCUGACGCUGAGGAGCGAAAGUGUGGGGAGCGAACAGG